rnacentral:tRNA from 1 species
GUUGGAAUAGCUUAGUUGGUUAGAGCAUGUGGCUGUUAACCACAAGGUUGGAGGUUCAAGCCCUCCUUCUAGCGA